AGGUAACCCUUACGGGAGCCAGCCGCCGAAGGUGGGGCAAAUGAUUGGGGUGAAGUCGUAACAAGGUAGCCGUAUCGGAAGGUGCGGCUGGAUCACCUCCUUUCUAAGGA
rnacentral:rRNA from 1 species